GGAGGGAACUGGCUAGUUAGUGACGUAAACCGCGAAGGGGCCAGCUGAUUGGCUGAGCCCAUGUUGCUCUGGAUCAAUCGAGACGAGGACUGCUGCGAGAGAAGGGAGAUGAUUGGAUGAGAGCUUGCAUAGGAGGGAGCUGGAGAAGAGGGUCAGAUGGGGGCUAAAGUCUCUGGAUUCAAUGAGCAACACAGACAAGCGGAAACCACAUGAGAACUGAGACCUGGACGGCUCAGGGUUGAAACAACAGUGGUCUCCAGCAAGAAGAGCCACAGAGAGCCAGUGGAGGCACUGCAUACAAGAUGAAAGACCCAUUUCUAGCAUGUAAAACAAUGUGAAAUUAAAUAAAUAUAAAUAAAAUGAAGCUGCAAUAAAAUUUAGUUGGUGCCUGA